rnacentral:rRNA from 1 species
AUACGUAUGGUGCAAGCGUUAUCCGGAUUUACUGGGUGUAAAGGGUGCGUAGGUGGCAUGGUAAGUCAGAUGUGAAAACUAUGGGCUCAACCCAUAGACUGCAUUUGAAACUGCCGAGCUAGAGUGCAGGAGAGGAAAGUGGAAUUCCUAGUGUAGCGGUGAAAUGCGUAGAUAUUAGGAGGAACACCAGUGGCGAAGGCGACUUUCUGGACUGUAACUGACACUGAGGCACGAAAGCGUGGGGAGCAAACAGGAUUAGAUACCCUGGUAGUCCACGCCCUAAACGAUGAAUACUAGGUGUGGGGGGACUGACCCCUUCCGUGCCGGAGUAAACACAAUAAGUAUUCCACCUGGGGAGUACGACCGCAAGGUUGAAACUCAAAGGAAUUGACGGGG